AUCACUAAUAGGGGGAUAUUUAGUGUUGACUUUAAUAAACCAUUUAUUAGGGGCAAAAAACAAAGAAAAACAGAGGCUUCACGCUCCCGAACGUCACCUCUCCACCAGAAGUCCUCCGCGAUGCUUUCGAUCGUGUCCCUCAUCAUCCUGUUCUUCGUCUUCUUCAAUUGCUUCACUUGAAAUGGGUUGAACCAUGAUUUUUUUUAUCACUUUUGUGGUCCACAUUAAAGUCCCAGCAGUCCACCAUAAGUAGGGUAAUCUUGCCCUGAUUAGGAAGGAAGGUUGACACGUUUGGAAUUCAAGAGGGAGGUCUUGAUCAAGUUUCGAAAGCAAGCUUGUCUAAUGGUUUACCAACAGACGCACAAGGUUGGAUUUUGUGUUCCACCCUGUAGCAACUGACUUGGUAGACAGUUCUAUCAAGUGUAGGAUUUUUUUGAUAAAUGUUAUGAAGCCUGCUCGGUAAAGGUACCUCUUAUGAAUUAGUAAAAAUGCUACUACUCCAUUUUAAAAUCAUAUUUAAUUCCAAAAUAAUGAGUUUAAUUAUUAA